rnacentral:rRNA from 1 species
UACGGAAGGCAGCAGUGGGGAAUAUUGCACAAUGGGCGAAAGCCUGAUGCAGCUAUGCCGCGUGUAUGAAGAAGGCCUUAGGGUUGUAAAGUACUUUCAUCGGGGAGGAAAAAACAAAACUAAUAAUUUUAUUUCUUGACGUUACCCGAAAAAGAAGCACCGGCUAACUCCGUGCCAGCAGCCGCGGUAAUACGGAGGGUGCUAGCGUUAAUCAGAAUUACUGGGCGUAAAGAGCACGUAGGUGGUUUUUUUAAGUCAGAUGUGAAAUCCCUGGGCUUAACCUAGGAACUGCAUUUUGAAACUGAAAUACUAGAGUAUCGUAGAGGGAGGUAGAAUUCUAGGUGUAGCGGUGAAAUGCGUAGAUAUCUGGAGGAAUACCUGUGGCGAAAGCGGCCUCCUAAACGAAUACUGACACUGAGGUGCGAAAGCGUGGGGAGCAAACGAGGGAUUUAGAUACC